rnacentral:rRNA from 1 species
CCUACGGGAGGCAGCAGUGGGGGAUAUUGCACAAUGGAGGAAACUCUGAUGCAGCGACGCCGCGUGAGGGAAGACGGUCUUCGGAUUGUAAACCUCUGUCUUUGGGGAAGAAAAUGACGGUACCCAAAGAGGAAGCUCCGGCUAACUACGUGCCAGCAGCCGCGGUAAUACGUAGGGAGCGAGCGUUGUCCGGAAUUACUGGGUGUAAAGGGAGCGUAGGCGGGCGAGAAAGUUGAAUGUUAAAUCUACCGGCUUAACUGGUAGCUGCGUUCAAAACUUCUUGUCUUGAGUGAAGUAGAGGCAGGCGGAAUUCCUAGUGUAGCGGUGAAAUGCGUAGAUAUUAGGAGGAACACCAGUGGCGAAGGCGGCCUGCUGGGCUUUAACUGACGCUGAGGCUCGAAAGCGUGGGGAGCAAACAGGAUUAGAUACCCCAGUAGUC